GGUAACGGCUCACCAUGGCGAUGAUGUCUAGGGGUUCUGAGAGGAAGGCCCCCCACACUGGGACUGAGACACGGCCCAGACUCCUACGGGAGGCAGCAGUGAGGAAUAUUGGACAAUGGAUGGAAAUCUGAUCCAGCCAUGCCGCGUGCAGGAAGACGGCCCUAUGGGUUGUAAACUGCUUUUAUACGGGAGCAAUAAGGUCUACGUGUAGACUGAUGAGAGUACCGUAUGAAUAAGCAUCGGCUAACUCCGUGCCAGCAGCCGCGGUAAUACGGAGGAUGCGAGCGUUUUCCGGAUUUAUUGGGUUUAAAGGGUGCGUAGGCGGCCUUGUAAGUCAGCGGUGAAAUUUUGCAGCUUAACUGUAAAAGUGCCGUUGAUACUGUGAGGCUAGGAUUUGGUUGCUGUGGGUGGAAUGUGUGGUGUAGCGGUGAAAUGCUUAGAGAUCACACAGAAUAUCGAUUGCGAAGGCAGCUCACAAAGCCAAGAUUGACGCUGAGGCACGAAAGUGUGGGGAUCAAACAGGAUUAGAUACCCUGGUAGUCCACACUGUAAACGAUGAUAACUCGCUGUCGGCGAUAUACAGUCGGUGGCCAAGCGAAAGCGAUA
rnacentral:rRNA from 1 species